UACGUAGGGCGCAAGCGUUAUCCGGAAUUAUUGGGCGUAAAGGGCUCGUAGGCGGUCCAUCGCGUCGGGAGUGAAAAGCUGGGGCUUAACCCCAGUCCUGCUUUCGAUACGGGUGGACUAGAGGUAGGCAGGGGAGAAUGGAAUUCCCGGUGUAGUGGUGGAAUGCGCAGAUAUCAGGAGGAACACCGGUGGCGAAGGCGGUUCUCUGGGCAUGAUCUGACGCUGAGGAGCGAAAGUGUGGGGAGCGAACAGG
rnacentral:rRNA from 1 species